rfam:Stomoxys calcitrans breed 8C7A2A5H3J4 unplaced genomic scaffold Scaffold1876, whole genome shotgun sequence.
CCUAUGGUUCUUUUCAGACCCACCUACACAAUCUGGAAAAAUUUC